rnacentral:rRNA from 1 species
UACGUAGGGGGCAAGCGUUGUCCGGAUUUAUUGGGCGUAAAGAGCUCGUAGGCGGUUUGGUAAGUCUGGUGUGAAAUCUCCACGCUCAACGUGGAGGGGCCACCCGAUACUGCCAUGACUGGAGUCCGGUAGAGGAGUGUGGAAUUCCCGGUGUAGCGGUGAAAUGCGCAGAUAUCGGGAGGAACACCGGUGGCGAAGGCGGUUCUCUGGGCCUGUACUGACGCUGAGGAGCGAAAGCGUGGGGAGCGAACAGG